GGUUUGCGCGGGAAAGUCAGCCGGAUUCAAGAUGGCUUCCCUGGCUGGUCUUCCCCUGACUUUGGACCAACCUUUCGUCUACGAGAACGGCGAGAAAUGCGGGGCAGACACUGGAUGCCUGACCUACACCUCGAUCGGCGAGCGCGCGGGCGAGGAUGCCCUGGGCGCCUUCUUCGAGGUCGUGGAGUGGACGCGGACGCAGGCGGGGACCUCCGUCGUCUUCGCCAGCAGGAGCUACGGCGACGGCACGCAGGUCUUCAAGCAGAGUUCCCGAUGGACUCAAAGGCACCAGCACGGGCGACAAGGGCCUCGUCAGCACCGCCUUCCCCCGCGUGGCCUUCCCCUCCGACCCCGCCCUCCGCUUCGUGACUCCUGGCGGCUACAUGGUCGGCUGGACGCUGUUGUCCCACGGCAGCACGCAGUCGGACCUGGCUCGAUUCCGCGACGGCGAGGACGGCGGGGUGGUCGUGCUGUUCCGCCCGACGGAGAACAACCUGACGGAGAGCGUGGUCAUGUCGGCCCUCUCGAACGCCAUGGCCGCGAGCGUGAGUCUGGACCCUGGGGCUUCGAGGCUGAACUGGGGGGUGCAGGGGCUCGCCGAGGAACUACCCCGGGCUUCUCCCUCGAGGUCGUCCUCCACCCGCACUCCCGGUCCGUCGUCAGGAAUAUCUGUCUUGGGGAGAGACGCUGAGGAAAUACCAUUCCACCGCGAAGAUACCAGACCCGACGGCGGAGUACCUGAGCUACUACACCGACAACGGCGCGUACCACUACUACAACCCUCUGCCCUUCAGUAACUUCCGUGACGUGGUGCUGGAUCUGUACCAUUACGCGGUGCAGAACGAGGUCCCCAUCAGGUACCUCCAGCUGGACUCCUGGUGGUACCACAAGGGAGAGGGCGGCGGCGUCAAGAACUGGACAGCGAUACCAUACAUCAUCCCAGACGGUAUUGGUAACCUUUAUGAAACGACCGGAUGGCCAAUUAUCGCUCAUAACAGGUACUUCAGCAGCGAUACAGACUACGCGAGACAAAAUGGAGGACCCUACGCCUUCACCAUCGACAACGCCACCUCGAAGGCCU